ACACACUGCUUUGUGUUUACAUUUUAAAUGCUAUAUUUUGAAGACCAGAAGUUGUGGGGAUUUCCAUGUGUGAGUAAGUGUGUGUGUGUGUGUGUGUGUGUGUGUGUGUGUGUGUAUGUGACUAGGUUGGAACUUGAGGCCUUACUGUACACAAUAUCAUGGCACUAUGUCUCCAGCCCCGUUUUUUCACUGGUUAUUUUAAGAAUAGUGCAUGCCUCCUGCCCAGGGGCACACCUGAGCCACAGUCCACUUACUUUACCCUUACUAUCCUCUCAGGGAUCCCAGGAAUUCACCAUUGUGUCCAUCUUCCCUCCAUUAAAAUGGAGCCUCUUGGACUUUUCUGCCCGACCUAGCCUGGUACCGUGAUCCCCUUGAUCUCAGCCUCGCACAUGCCUUUGGAGGCAGGCACAUGCCAUGGUACCAGCUAUUUGUUGAACAGGGACUUUUGAACUUUUCUGCCUGAACCAGCCUCAAACAUGAUCCUUCCAUUCUCAUAACAUCCCACGUCAGUAAGAUUGCACAUAUGAACCACUGGUGUCUAGCUAGUUUUUAUUUUGUUGCUUUUUGCUUUACCAGUUUUUCUUUAAUAUGAUAUAUAGUUUUGGUACAUUAUCCAAAAGAUGACAAAGAUUUUUCUUUUAUGUACUUUCUUAGGAAUUUUAUAACCUUAGCUUGUACAUUUAGGUCUAAGAUUUUCUUUGGAGAUAAAGGCCAUAUGUGAUCUACUUUGUGUUUUCUUCAGUGAUUCAAUAUCAUAAAUAUUGACUGAAUGAAGAAAUAAACCAGUAUGACUUCAUGGUAGAUAAUGAUGGUCAUAAUUUAUAAUAGGCCCUUGGCUGCUCUUGUUUCUUCUUGGCUCAAUUAUGAUUAAAUUUUAUGGUUCGUAGAAUUAAAUUAUGUCUGAUUUUUACUUUUUUCAUUAUUCUAGCUGGGAGAAAAAUACAAUUUCUUAAUCUCCGUCAGGAAAUGUACUCACAAAGUUGAAAUAAUAUUCUAUUGAGUAUAUUGAAUUUGAAGUACCUACAUUAUGGAAGGGGAGCUGUGGCUCAAAGUAGUAGAGCACUAGCCUUAAUCAAAAGGGCAUAGGGACAGUGCUUAGGCCCUGAGUUCAAGCCCCAUGACCAACA